rnacentral:rRNA from 1 species
GGGGCGCGGAGGGAUCAUUG